rnacentral:lncRNA from 1 species
GGUUAAGGAAGAAGUGAUGGAGGUGAUUCAAAGCUGUCUUUCCUACCCUCUUCAGUACCUCUUCCAGUGAUGUGAAGUUAAAACCAUAGAUGGAGUCUCCCUAUGUUGCCCAUUCUGGUCUUGAGAGCUUCAGUUUUAAAUAAUAAAUUGUUCUCCUGUCUUUCUAAAUUUCAAUCAAAACACAGGAGGUAUUUUAAAAGGGAAAAACUGUGAGGUAAAAGAACAGGGUGAGGGGAGGAAAGAAAUAACUUCAUAGAGAAAAAUUCAAUGAACUCUUGGAAGAAAAUAUAUGGCAGUAUGGUUACUGACUUGGGAAAGAAGAGAAAGGUACAAUGUAACUGCACAUAGAAGCCAGUCCUGAAAAGAAGCAAGCCCGCUGAAGUAUCUGCAACUCAGAAGCACUUGGUACCACCCAAGGGGAGAUAAGAGGAGAUCUCAUCAGAGGCGCCUGAAAAGCACCUCAGCCCAAGGCCUCACAUAGAGAGACCUAAGAAUGAAGGCAGCUGGACUAGGAAUGUAAAUAUGUGAAAGAACAUGACCGGCCAGGGGCCCUGAGUUAUUGAAUGCAACCCCCUUCAGACACUGCAACGCACAGGCUGUGCACCAAGCCUAGUAUGGGAAGGAUAGCUUUUCUUCAUGAGGCCUGCCAGGUAAAGGCAGCUAUGAAACAGGAAGUUGACCUUCACCAGACACUGAACCUACUGGCACCUUGAUCUUGGACUUCCCAGCCUCACAAACUGUAAGAAAUAAAUGUCUGUUGUUCAUAA